GGGAAACAUAAAGUUGACCUUUUUAUGAAAGUAGGAUUCAAAAAUCCCCAAAGUGCAAAAAAAAGAAAAAAAAAAAGAAAAAAACACACAAAAAAUUUAAUUUAAAAACAGGAACUGGUCAUCACAAGGGAGGUUAAACAGACACACUGACAAAGACUGAAGGAGACAAAGACUGAAGGAGACUAUCACAAAUUAGGGAAAAAGAUAACGGCUGCCAAGAUGUAUUAUCAACGUCUAAGUUUCUAUGGAGUGAGAUUCUUUUACUUGACUGCCCUGGGGCUGAAAAAUGAAGCCAACCCAAAAGACUCCCAUCUCUGCAGGACCUGUACACCUCCAGGACAUUGCGGCGUGCAGCCCGGAUCUCAGCUGACCCUUCCCACCCUGGACACAGUCUGUUUGACCUGCUCCCCUCAGGCAGGAGGCUCCGGUCCAUUCGCACCAGAACCUCUCGCCACAAGAACAGUUUCUUCCCCUCUGCUGUUGGACACAUGAACAAUAACCACAUGACUGUCCCCGCCACUCACACAUGACCCUACGCUGUGUUACUGCAUCAUUUCAUGUCUGGCACUGAUCACCACCUGCACUCAUGUAUAUAUCCUUCUACGUAGCACUCUUAAUUCUUAUUCUCAUGUAUAUAUCUAAUGUAUAUCUCAUGCACAUAUCUUUCUUUCUACAUAGCACUUUAAUUCUUAUUGUUUGCACUGAAGCACC
ensembl:lncRNA